UGGACUUGGCUUAUCCUGCACUACGG
rnacentral:miRNA from 1 species